GAUGAACGCUGGCGGCGUGCCUAAUACAUGCAAGUCGAGCGAACAGACGAGGAGCUUUUGCCCCUGACGUUAGCGGCGGACGGGUGAGUAACACGUGGAUAACCUUCCUCUAAGACUUGGAGAAUUUCGGGAAACAGGUGCUAAUACUGGCUAAUAUAUUGAACGGCAGGAUUCAAUAGUGAUACACGGUUUUGCUGACAGUAAGAGCUGGUUCCGCGCCGCAUUAGCUAGUUGGUAAGGUAACGGCUUACCAAGGCAACGAUGCGUAGCCGACCUGAGAGGGUGAUCGGCCACACUGGAACUGAGACACGGUCCAGACUCCUACGGGAGGCAGCAGUAGGGAAUCUUGCGCAAUGGGCGAAAGCCUGACGCAGCCACGCCGCGUGAGUGAUGAAGGUCUUCGGGUCGUAAAACUCUGUUAUUAGGGAAGAACAACAGUGUAAGUAAAUAUGCACGUCCUGACGGUACCUAAACAGAAAGCACCGGCUAACUACGUG
rnacentral:rRNA from 1 species